AGAGCGAACGCUGGCGGCAGGCCUAAUACAUGCAAGUCGAACGGACCCUUCGGGGUUAGUGGCGGACGGGUGAGUAACACGUGGGAACGUGCCCUUUGGUUCGGAACAACUCAGGGAAACUUGAGCUAAUACCGAAUGUGCCCUUCGGGGGAAAGAUUUAUCGCCAUUGGAGCGGCCCGCGUCUGAUUAGCUAGUUGGUGAGGUAAAGGCUCACCAAGGCUACGAUCAGUAGCUGGUCUGAGAGGAUGAUCAGCCACACUGGGACUGAGACACGGCCCAGACUCCUACGGGAGGCAGCAGUAGGGAAUCUUGCGCAAUGGGCGAAAGCCUGACGCAGCCAUGCCGCGUGAAUGAUGAAGGUCUUAGGAUUGUAAAAUUCUUUCAGCGGGGAAGAUAAUGACUGUACCCGCAGAAGAAGCUCCGGCUAACUUCGUGCCAGCAGCCGC
rnacentral:rRNA from 1 species